rfam:Brassica rapa chromosome A9, whole genome shotgun sequence.
GGAAUAUAAGAACCCGUCUCUUAACUUUUAACUAAAAAAGUUAAGAAUCGAUUUUUAAAUAUUUUAUUUAAGAACCAGUUCUUAGCUUUGUUAGUUAAAAGUUAAGAGACAAGUUCUUAUAUUCC